rnacentral:lncRNA from 1 species
UACCUACCAAUGUUAGAAUGCCAAAGAUGACUACUAAAGAGCACAGAAAAUGCAAGUGCUACUUGUCCUAACACUAUCUUUUGAGUUUUGACUAAAUUAAAGUCAUCAGGUACAUUAUAUGUUCUAGAUUUCACUUUCUGACACCAACAUUGGAAUUGAAUUCUAAUCUUAAUCCAACUUAAGUUUUCCCCUCUGACUUUGAACAUGAUCACCACCCUUCACAUCUUCAAACAGUGAGAGGCCUUGUUUUUUACUAACUUUUACAGUCUGACAUAUCCUUUUUCAUAUUUAGUUCUAACAAACAUGACACCCAUAUACUUCAUGCAGAUCAACCAAAUAGAAAAGACGUUCAAAGUUAAAACCAACAAAAACAGACACUUGCAAAAAAAAAAAAACACACACAGACAUAAUGGUUGUUGAUUCAUAUAGAAGUGAGAGCGAGAAGUUGGAACAUCCGCAUAUUUGAAAUCAAGCUUUUGAAUUAGACAAAGAUGAUGAAAUGCAGUUACUUAAAUUAUAUAGAAGUUAUGAUACCUGAUUAGCCUCAUCUGUUCAAAAAGUUCAGUAGUAUAAAUGUUCGUAUCAUCUGCAAAAAAAACUAUUCCAUCAAGCCUAUGCAUCUCAAUGUGGGAUAAUGCCAGGUUUCUUUGGUGCAAGCUCCUAUAUUUUAUCUCUGUCAAGUUCUUAAUGCAGGCGAGAUGCCUGUACAUAACUCCAGUUUUUCUCAACAAGUCAGCUGUUUCCACAGAUUGAGAAUUCAUCUCGACAACGAUCCACAAUACAGGAGGUGGAAUCGAUUUCAACGUGUGAGCCAAACGAUUCAAAUAAUAUGCUUCAAAUGGCCGAGCAUAUGUUGGAGUCACAAUUAUCAGAAGCUUAUUUAAGGCCUCACCAAAUGAUUGGGGCGCAAUACUUGCAUCAGAAGUUACAUUACUGUUGUCCUCGACAGUCAAAUGCAACUUCAAUGAAACAUUUUCACUUUUUGUAGGCAGUUCAUCUACUACCAUUUUCUCAUUCGCCAUGAAAGGUGAGAAUUUCUUCAAAGGAAACUCUGGCCCUUCAGGUGUGUAACUGGGGGACAUAUCCAAGGAGACAAAUGGGGUGAGCCCAACAAAAAUUCCAAGAAAAAAACACACCAAGAAUUGAAAUAUAGCCCUUCUCCAAACAUGGCCCUUCAGUUUUGUCUUUUCCAGGGGUCGAGAUGAUUUAUGCGAGAAAAAAUCUGAUAUAAACGAUUGAACUGUGUAAAAGCCAUAUCCCGAUGAACUACUAUUUGGCAGUGUGUGGUUCUGGUUAGAGGAGGAAGACCUGGAAAGAGGAGAUGCAACUAAAUUGGCUUCUCCAUUCAUUAACAUUCCAGGACGGGUAACUGGAGAUAAUGUUCUACGAAUAGAAGCCAUUUUAAAGAAAGACGUAGAGCACAGUCUUCAAAAUUACUCUUAGUGUUCGAACAAAUCAAGAGACAAGAUAUAUCGAACUCAAUAAUUUUUCCGAGAUAUCACGUAAUUCUAAAUUGUCAGCACACUGUUCACAUCCCCCUCAUCAAAUUGUAAAAAUAACAAACAAAGAAAUGCACCUCCAACACAACCAGAUUAAUAUUCAAUACAUUCAGCUGACAACACCUCCUUAGAAGACAAGUCCAAGGAGCUAAAUUCCAAGUAAACUCAAUCCAUCAAACAUCACCAAGUGAGGCACUUUCUCACAAAAAUCUAAACACAAAAACACUAGCAAUUACCACAUUCAAUAAAAACCAAAAUCAACAUCUUUUCGACUAAAUCCCAAAUUUCUCUUGCUAUACCAGAUAUUCUUCCCACUCCCACACACACGCACACACUACAAAUCAACAGAACCCUUAAAUCAAAAGAAUCAGCAACUACAACUACCACCAAAUCAAAGCAAAUUCAAAGAGCCCGUCAUUUAGCUAACAAAAACAGCAAAACCCACCUCUCAGAUUUCAAGAAACUUGAGCUGAGGCCCAAAGAACUCAAGAUUUGAGCUCAAAGAACUGAAAUUUAAAGACUUUUAACAAAUGGGUUACCACAUAAUUGCUGAGCUGAGAAAAUGGUCUUGGAUCUUUUCAAGAAUGAAGUAGAAUGCUCUGCAAAUCUUUAGAAAUAGGAAUUCAAGCUGACCCUCUUGGCAAAAAAUCUCAAAUUUUUAGGAAUGAAAUUGAAAGUGAAACAAGAAUGAAUAUAGAAAGGUGAGUUUAGUGAUUUCCAAUCAGAACAGACUGGUAAGAAAGAAAGUGACUUAUUCUGUAAUAAUUUCUUCUUAAUUUUUUACUUGAGCUGUUAGAACAUAUUUAUAGUUAUACACACAGAAAUUGUUACCUACGAAGUAAGAACUCAAAGUACACGUUUUCGAGUUGGAACGUUGGUUAGGACAAAAGCACAUGGACUUUUACUUGUUCACUAGCUUAUUGCAUGUUGUUUUAGAUUGAUUUGUAAUAAGAAACUAAGAUAAAUUUAAUAAAAAAGAUGACCUUCUCUAUUUAACAUUUAAUUUGCUGUUGUUUAACGUUUUCAAUUCAAUAUACAGCUUAAACAUUUAGCUAUGUCAAAUAAAAGCAAACAAAAAUUUAUUAAAUUAAUUGACAUACUCCUUCUUGCAAUUCACAUUAAUUCAUUAUAGAAAUUAUAGAAUUAAAAUCUGUACCAUUUUUGAAAUUUAUGAAGUUUGGUUGGUCAAUAUUUUUUUUAUUUUUAAUAUUUUAUUUUCACUUAAAAUUUUAAUUUAAUAAUAAUUAUUAUAUUCUAUUAUUUAAUUUAACAAUAUAUUAAAUAUAUAUAAUAUUGGAUUCUCAUCAAUAAUAAAUUAUAAAUUUACUUUUUUCAUCCAUCCAGAAGAGUCUUGUUGGGAAUUAAUGCAUGCCUUUAUAACAAGCUGAUUAUUUUUAUAAUUAUGAACCACGUUUUGCUAUUAGAUAUGGCAGGAUUUCAGGACUUGUUAAUUACAUGUAUUUAUUAUUUAAAAGAGACUUAGAGCAUCUCCAACGGCGUUGGCUAUAAUCGUUGGCUAAAUUGGACCUGUAAGACUUUAUGUAAAAUUUGCUGAACCUGUAACACAUUUUGCUUCAAUGGUAUUGGCUAUCUUGGUUGGCUAUAAUUUAAAAAUAGUAUGUUAUUAAUAUUUCAAAUUGUUAAAAUAGAAUAUAUCAGUUCAAUAUGGUAAUAAAUGAUGUGCAAUCUUCCUACAGAUUUUCUUACAGACCUGUAGAGGUUCGACAAAUUUAGCUCUGUUUAUUCUCUUUAUCAAAUAUAGCAAAUUCUGGAUGAAAUCACUUGCACAGAAAGGCUCUUAUUCAAUUGAGAAAUCCCAAAAAAAAAAAAGAUUGAACAAAUCUUGUACAUUUAUUAGAGGAAUGGGCUUGUAAAGAAUGGCUACAAACUUACAAAGUCCAUACAUAUAAUUGCAAGAGUUCAAAUGAUUGAUCAUUGCCAUUCUUAAAUAGCAAGCAAUAAAUAAUGCAUGCUAGGCUGAUCAUCUGUGAAACCUCUAUACAAGACAAAAAGGUUGCAGCUGCAACCGAAAAACUGCCUAAUAUUCUUGAAAAUUUUGCACCAAAAAUAGUUCGAUUUCAACAGGAAAGGGGAUGGACAACAUAACUACAUUGAGUAUGAGAACACUGUGCAAUUUAAACAACACCUGUCCGACCAUUUGGCCAGAUUUGUUGUUUGCAGAUACAUCCCCCGCCAAUGGAAAAGAUUUGAACUCAGCAAAUGUAAAACGUGUACCCGAGAGAAAUAAAUUGUACGACGACUGAGGCAUAAUGCAGAUAAAUUGUCUGUAGAUGUUCGAGUUCCAUGACAGAGUGAACACUCGGUUCACAUAUUACUUGAGCACUCUGCUAAGCACAAAUAACAUUUGAUAAAAUAUUAGUGAGUGAAACAUGCUUAUAAUUUAUAAAACAGACAUAUCUAGACAUGUGCUGAUGCCACACACGAAAGAUUAUUAAAUACAACAUGUAUAGAAGGAGAAAAAAGGGACCUCAUCCUGAUGUGUUCAAUAAUUCCUUAGUUGAUAUCUCACCUAGCUCUUUUUGAAAAACUAAAAAGCAUGCUACGCUACACUAGCCUUUACUCAGGAAAUGUCUUUCAUUUACCAUAUUAAUUAUAUAAUUUUCAGGAGCCUCGAAUCAUUAAAAUGCAGAAACAGCACUCAUAGAGGAUUUGAUCAACAAGAUACUUUGAAUGAUCAACAAGAUACUUUGGAAAAAUGUGUUGUGCAGACUUUAGAUUUGUUUUCGAGUUAAUUUUUAUGUUAAAUACACAUUUUAAUUAUAUUAAAUAUCUUUACCCCACCAACACCAAUUUCUGGCUACGCUCUUGGGGGUGGUGACUGGUAACAUAUGGUUAUGCACUCUACCUAUGAUAUAAUAAUCAUAAUAUAGGAAAAGAAAAGAGUGAAUGUUUGGAAAAAGUAAUGCUUACCUUAUCAGAAUUGUGAGUUGAGUGGAUGAACUACAUUUAGAUUAUUUUUCAAGAGCCAGUGAGGAGGAUAUGAAUACAAAGACGGGGAUUUGAUUUGAAGAUGCCACACCAUGACCUUUGAGCAGUUCUGAGGUAGGCCCUCCAUUUGGCUUUCAUCUUCAACAAUUUGUUCAACAAAUGUACUCACCUGCAAAGAGUAAUAUUAAAGGUUACUUCCAGUCAUCCACAGUAUGACUAUAACAAUUAGAUAAGAAUAUCAAUAUCACAAUCCAGAGACCAGUUCCAGAAAGUUGGAUAUUUCCAGUGAACUCGCUAGAAACUAGGUAAACCCUAUAUAUCAGUUUUGUUAGAUAAGCCUCUAACAACUAGACCAUACUCUGCCAUUACAGCUCAAAAUCUUAGUCCUCCCUAUUAGAUUAUAAGAUAGGGACAAAGCUUCGAUGUUCGGGGUUCAAGUCCUCUCUAGCCAACAACCGACACAUUGCUAAUAGAUUAGUGGAUAGGGAUAAGGCCUCAAAUUUUGGCCUCAAGUCCCUGCUAGCCAACAACUUAACAAUAUUGCCAUUACAUUUAGGUGCAAAAAUUAUUAUUAUUGUGAUGCUGGGAUUCUUUUUAAUUAUUGUUUGUUAUCCUCCCUUUGAGGUGGAUUCACAGAAUUGGGCAUAUAUCUGGUAGUGGGAGCUUGACUUCUAAACAAACUGGUGUACGCUUUGGAACAAGUAUCUAAAACUAGACUAGUAUGUGUCGAAAAAUUAUUCGCGAUAUAGAGGAUAAUAAAGAAACAUAGCAUGUAAUGCCGAUAACAUCCAUACACACAAUAAGAUUUAAUAAGAAAAACCUUCAAGACAGUAAUGAAGCAAGACACUCACUUGGACCUCUUCUUUGACUGUAUCAAGCUGCCUAAUAGGUUUAGGAUUAGGCCGGUGCCAUCUCUUUGAAUCCCAAAGUAUGGUACUGUUGAAUGCAAACCCAGACAUUCCCACAUGGAAUCUACGUGAUCUUCUUCUCCCAUCUCUACUGUGCCAUCCUAGAACAUGACCUCCAUUGCAUACUGGACCUUCCAACGCAAUUUGGCUUGUACCAGGCACCAAUUUUGCCACUGCCCAUGUUCCAAGCCGCCUAGGCAUCAAAAGUUUGGCAGUCAAAUAAUGAUCAGUACAUAAAGCAAGAUGAUAACAGAGGACAGAAGGGUAAGAUCCAUACAAGAGUUUUUGUUCUGCCCUACCUACCAAUGUUAGAAUGCCAAAGAUGACUACUAAAGAGCACAGAAAAUGCAAGUGCUACUUGUCCUAACACUAUCUUUUGAGUUUUGACUAAAUUAAAGUCAUCAGGUACAUUAUAUGUUCUAGAUUUCACUUUCUGACACCAACAUUGGAAUUGAAUUCUAAUCUUAAUCCAACUUAAGUUUUCCCCUCUGACUUUGAACAUGAUCACCACCCUUCACAUCUUCAAACAGUGAGAGGCCUUGUUUUUUACUAACUUUUACAGUCUGACAUAUCCUUUUUCAUAUUUAGUUCUAACAAACAUGACACCCAUAUACUUCAUGCAGAUCAACCAAAUAGAAAAGACGUUCAAAGUUAAAACCAACAAAAACAGACACUUGCAAAAAAAAAAAAACACACACAGACAUAAUGGUUGUUGAUUCAUAUAGAAGUGAGAGCGAGAAGUUGGAACAUCCGCAUAUUUGAAAUCAAGCUUUUGAAUUAGACAAAGAUGAUGAAAUGCAGUUACUUAAAUUAUAUAGAAGUUAUGAUACCUGAUUAGCCUCAUCUGUUCAAAAAGUUCAGUAGUAUAAAUGUUCGUAUCAUCUGCAAAAAAAACUAUUCCAUCAAGCCUAUGCAUCUCAAUGUGGGAUAAUGCCAGGUUUCUUUGGUGCAAGCUCCUAUAUUUUAUCUCUGUCAAGUUCUUAAUGCAGGCGAGAUGCCUGUACAUAACUCCAGUUUUUCUCAACAAGUCAGCUGUUUCCACAGAUUGAGAAUUCAUCUCGACAACGAUCCACAAUACAGGAGGUGGAAUCGAUUUCAACGUGUGAGCCAAACGAUUCAAAUAAUAUGCUUCAAAUGGCCGAGCAUAUGUUGGAGUCACAAUUAUCAGAAGCUUAUUUAAGGCCUCACCAAAUGAUUGGGGCGCAAUACUUGCAUCAGAAGUUACAUUACUG